GCAGGCAGACGGGCGAUCGCGGCGUAUUCGCCGAGGAAAGUCCGAACUCCACAGGGCAGCGUGCCUCGUAGUGCGAGGGCCCGUAAGGGACGGAAAGUGCCACAGAAAACAUACCGCCGCGAUCAACGGUAAGGGUGAAAAGGUGCGGUAAGAGCGCACCAGCGGUCCGGUAACGGAUCGGCUUGGCAAACCCCACGUGGAGCAAGGCCAAAUAGGGAAACGCGGCGCCCCGAAGGGGCCAGCCCGAGAGGGCGAAGCCUUAAUGGAAGUGCGCCAGCGGCGGCCCGUCGUAGUUUCCGGGUAGGCUGCUCGAGCUUGUGGGAAACCUCAAGCCCAGACGAAUGAUCGCCACUCAGUCAUCCUUGGCUGGGUACAGAAUUCGGCUUACAGUCUGCCUGCCUGU
rnacentral:RNase_P_RNA from 1 species